rnacentral:rRNA from 1 species
UAGGGAAUCUUCCACAAUGGACGCAAGUCUGAUGGAGCAACGCCGCGUGAGUGAAGAAGGUUUCGGAUCGUAAAGCUCUGUUGUUGGUGAAGAAGGAUAGAGGCAGUAACUGGCCUUUAUUUGACGGUAAUCAACCAGAAAGUCACGGCUAACUACGUGCCAGCAGCCGCGGUAAUCGUAGGUGGCAAGCGUUGUCCGGAUUUAUUGGGCGUAAAGCGAGCGCAGGCGGAAGAAUAAGUCUGAUGUGAAAGCCCUCGGCUUAACCGAGGAAUUGCAUCGGAAACUGUUUUCUGAGUGCAGAAGAGGAGAGUAGAACUCCAUGUGUAGCGGUGGAAUGCGUAGAUAUAUGGAAGAAUACCAGUGGCGAAGGCGGCUCUCUGGUCUGCAACUGACGCUGAGGCUCGAAAGCAUGGGUAGCGAACAGGAUUAGAUACCCUUGGUAGUCCAUGCCGUAAACGAUGAGUGCUAA